CGUUUCGGCGGUGGCUGGAUCACAGGGGGCACCCGAGUCUCACUGGAAUGUGGCCGUCUUCCCAUAGCGGGUGUCAGGCCUCUACGGUGCCUCUGGUCGUCGGCUCGAGCCUCUCCUAAGAGUCGGGUUGCUUGGGAAUGCAGCCUAAAGACGGGUGGUAAACUCCAUCCAAGGCUAAAUACUGACGCGAGACCGAUAGCGGACAAGUACCGCAAGGGAAAGUUGAAAAGAACUUUGAAGAGAGAGUUCAAGAGUACGUGAAACCGUUUAGAGGGAAACGGAUGGGACCGCAAGUUGGUCGAACCGUGGGAUUCAACCCGUUUGGUUUGGUCAUGGAUCGUGGUGGUGGACGGCUAUCGGAAGGCCAGCAAUGGCCGUACGACGUCCGCUGCUUACAGAGAAACCUGACGCCAACGGGUGCACUUUCCACGGAGAGACAGCCGCGACCGGUUCACCGGCCGUCAGAAGCCGUGCGGGGAAGGUAGUUGGCUUGAGGGCUUGUCCCGCUUGCCAAUGUUAUAGCCCCGCCGAUGGCGUUGGCCGGCUGGUGGACCGAGGAGAAAACACCGCCUCUAGCAUGCCGGGGAAGACGGCGUUGCGCCGCCGCCCAUCGACUGGGUUUGGACUGACUCUUCUGCCAGUCCGAUCCGACUGUGGGUGGUGGUACGCGCGUCGCCACCCGGUGGCCUCGUUCCCGAGACUGUUCGGAGAGAGGAAGGUCAGCGGCGAAGACACUGUCGGCACCCCAUCCGACCCGUCUUGAAACACGGACCAAGGAGUCUAACGUGUGCGCAAGUCACUGGGCGCAAUGAACCCCAAAGGCGCAAUGAAAGCAAAUCUCAGCUCGUCUGAGAGAGGCGGGAUCCUGACUCCUACGCGGGUCGGGCGCACCGCCGGCCCCUCUCGU
rnacentral:rRNA from 1 species